AAGCCAGACUCCUACGGGAGGCAGCAGUGGGGGAUAUUGCACAAUGGGGGAAACCCUGAUGCAGCGACGCCGCGUGGGUGAAGAAGCGCCUCGGCGCGUAAAGCCCUGUCAGCAGGGAAGAAAAUGACGGUACCUGAAGAAGAAGCCCCGGCUAACUACGUGCCAGCAGCCGCGGUAAUACGUAGGGGGCAAGCGUUAUCCGGAUUUACUGGGUGUAAGGGGGCGCAGACGGCGAUGCAAGCCAGGAGUGAAAGCCCGGGGCCCAACCCCGGGACUGCUCUUGGAACUGCGUGGCUAGAGUGCAGGAGGGGCAGGCGGAAUUCCUGGUGUAGCGGUGAAAUGCGUAGAUAUCAGGAGGAACACCGGUGGCGAAGGCGGCCUGCUGGACUGCAACUGACGUUGAGGCCCGAAAGCGUGGGGAGCAAACAGGAUUAGAUACCCGAGUACC
rnacentral:rRNA from 1 species